GGCAAGGUGUGUGAGUGCAGGUCUAGCUCAGAGAUGUGUGGACAACAAGGCAUCGUUAGCCUUUGAGGCUUUGUGGGACUGCACAGGGAUGGGGGCAGGAAUGAAGAGAAAAACGAUCAUCAAGAAGGAAUGCAGCAUCCUGAAAGAGCCAAAGCUACUGUUCCCACUCAGUGACUUUCUUGUACCUUGUGGAAAUUCCCAGGGAAAUGUGGAGAAGACGAGUGUUAGAUUGACAAUGGCCUGGCAAUGUCAAUGUCAAUCAUUGCGGUGAUGCCCAGAAAACGACUGACAUCCUUUUACUCACUCCUUGGCCAGAGGGAAUUUACUAUGGAUGUGUCCAGUUCAGGUGUUUCAUAAUGAGAGAGCAGUCAGAGCCUCGUGUGCUGGAUAGAGAGUCACCAGGUAUAACAAGGAGUGCGAAUCCUUGUGCAGCUCAAGGGGGAUGAGUCUAAGGUGGUUGUUGUUGUUGUGUGUGUGUGAGACCUGGUGUACGUGUGGGUGUGGUAUGACCAUAGUGUCAGUGCGUCUGCGUAUGUGGGAAUGGGACCUCACUUUUCUCUUGCCGUCUCUGGGGCCAGGGCUAUAGGAUCCUCUGUCCAGGUACAGGCAUC
rnacentral:lncRNA from 1 species